UACGAAGGGUGCAAACGUUGCUCGGAAUUAUUGGGCGUAAAGCGCACGUAGGCGGCUUGCAAGUCGGAUGUGAAAUCCCUCGGCUUAACCAAGGAAGUGCAUCCGAAACUGCAGAGCUUGAGUACUUAAGAGGAUCGCGGAAUUCCCGGUGUAGAGGUGAAAUUCGUAGAUAUCGGGAGGAACACCAGUGGCGAAGGCGGCGAUCUGGGAAGAUACUGACGCUGAGGUGCGAAAGCGUGGGAGCAAACAGG
rnacentral:rRNA from 1 species